rnacentral:rRNA from 1 species
GAUGGACGCUGGCGGCGUGCCUAAUACAUGCAAGUAGAACGCUGAAGGAAGGAGCUUGCUCUUUCCGGAUGAGUUGCGAACGGGUGAGUAACGCGUAGGUAACCUGCCUGGUAGCGGGGGAUAACUAUUGGAAACGAUAGCUAAUACCGCAUAACAGUAGAUGUUGCAUGAUAUCUACUUAAAAGGUGCAAUUGCACCACUACCAGAUGGACCUGCGUUGUAUUAGCUAGUUGGUGAGGUAACGGCUCACCAAGGCGACGAUACAUAGCCGACCUGAGAGGGUGAUCGGCCACACUGGGACUGAGACACGGCCCAGACUCCUACGGGAGGCAGCAGUAGGGAAUCUUCGGCAAUGGACGGAAGUCUGACCGAGCAACGCCGCGUGAGUGAAGAAGGUUGUCGGAUCGUAAAGCUCUGUUGUAAGAGAAGAACGAGUGUGAGAGUGGAAAGUUCACACUGUGACGGUAUCUUACCAGAAAGGGACGGCUAACUACGUG